rnacentral:rRNA from 1 species
AGAUUGAACGCUGGCGGCAGGCCUAACACAUGCAAGUCGAGCGGCAGCACGGGUACUUGUACCUGGUGGCGAGCGGCGGACGGGUGAGUAAUGCCUAGGAAUCUGCCUGGUAGUGGGGGAUAACGCUCGGAAACGGACGCUAAUACCGCAUACGUCCUACGGGAGAAAGCAGGGGACCUUCGGGCCUUGCGCUAUCAGAUGAGCCUAGGUCGGAUUAGCUAGUUGGUGAGGUAAUGGCUCACCAAGGCGACGAUCCGUAACUGGUCUGAGAGGAUGAUCAGUCACACUGGAACUGAGACACGGUCCAGACUCCUACGGGAGCAGCAGUGGGAAUAUUGGACAAUGGGCGAAAGCCUGAUCCAGCCAUGCCGCGUGUGUGAAGAAGGUCUUCGGAUUGUAAAGCACGUUUAAGUGGAGAAGGCAUUUACCUAAUACGUAAGUGUUUGACGUUACGACAGAAUAGCACCGCUAACUCUGUGCCAGCAG